rnacentral:rRNA from 1 species
CCUACGGGGGGCUGCAGUGGGGAAUAUUGGACAAUGGGCGAAAGCCUGAUCCAGCCAUGCCGCGUGUGUGAAGAAGGCCUUCGGGUUGUAAAGCACUUUCAGUGGGGAAGAAAGCCUUGGGGCUAAUACCCUCGAGGAAGGACAUCACCCACAGAAGAAGCACCGGCUAACUCCGUGCCAGCAGCCGCGGUAAUACGGAGGGUGCGAGCGUUAAUCGGAAUUACUGGGCGUAAAGCGCGCGUAGGCGGUCUGAUAAGCCGGUUGUGAAAGCCCCGGGCUCAACCUGGGAACGGCAUCCGGAACUGUCAGGCUAGAGUGCAGGAGAGGAAGGUAGAAUUCCCGGUGUAGCGGUGAAAUGCGUAGAGAUCGGGAGGAAUACCAGUGGCGAAGGCGGUCUUCUGGACUGACACUGACGCUGAGGUGCGAAAGCGUGGGUAGCAAACAGGAUUAGAUACCCCAGUAGUC